AUUGAACGCUGGCGGCAGGCCUAACACAUGCAAGUCGAGCGGUAGAGAGGUGCUUGCAUCUCUUGAGAGCGGCGGACGGGUGAGUAAUGCCUAGGAAUCUGCCUAGUGGUGGGGGAUAACGUUCGGAAACGGACGCUAAUACCGCAUACGUCCUACGGGAGAAAGCGGGGGAUCUUCGGACUCGCGCCAUUAGAUGAGCCUAGGUCGGAUUAGCUAGUUGGUGAGGUAAUGGCUCACCAAGGCGACGAUCCGUAACUGGUCUGAGAGGAUGA
rnacentral:rRNA from 1 species